rnacentral:rRNA from 1 species
GACCCUUCGGGGUUAGUGGCGAACGGGUGAGUAACACGUGGGUGAUCUGCCCUGCACUUUGGGAUAAGCCUGGGAAACUGGGUCUAAUACCGGAUAGGACUACGCACUGCAUGGUGUGUGGUGGAAAGCUUUUGCGGUGUGGGAUGGGCCCGCGGCCUAUCAGCUUGUUGGUGGGGUGAUGGCCUACCAAGGCGACGACGGGUAGCCGGCCUGAGAGGGUGACCGGCCACACUGGGACUGAGAUACGGCCCAGACUCCUACGGGAGGCAGCAGUGGGGAAUAUUGCACAAUGGGCGCAAGCCUGAUGCAGCGACGCCGCGUGAGGGAUGACGGCCUUUCGGGUUGUAAACCUCUUUCGCCAGGGACGAAGCGCAAGUGACGGUACCUGGAGAAGAAGGACCGGCCAACUACGUGCCAGCAGCCGCGGUAAUACGUAGGGUCCGAGCGUUGUCCGGAAUUACUGGGCGUAAAGAGCUCGUAGGUGGUUUGUCGCGUUGUUCGUGAAAACUCACAGCUUAACUGUGGGCGUGCGGGCGAUACGGGCAGACUGGAGUACUGCAGGGGAGACUGGAAUUCCUGGUGUAGCGGUGGAAUGCGCAGAUAUCAGGAGGAACACCGGUGGCGAAGGCGGGUCUCUGGGCAGUAACUGACGCUGAGGAGCGAAAGCGUGGGGAGCGAACAGGAUUAGAUACCCUGGUAGUCCACGCCGUAAACGGUGGGUACUAGGUGUGGGUUUCCUUCCUUGGGAUCCGUGCCGUAGCUAACGCAUUAAGUACCCCGCCUGGGGAGUACGGCCGCAAGGCUAAAACUCAAAGGAAUUGACGGGGGCCCGCACAAGCGGCGGAGCAUGUGGAUUAAUUCGAUGCAACGCGAAGAACCUUACCUGGGUUUGACAUGCACAGGACGCCGGCAGAGAUGUCGGUUCCCUUGUGGCCUGUGUGCAGGUGGUGCAUGGCUGUCGUCAGCUCGUGUCGUGAGAUGUUGGGUUAAGUCCCGCAACGAGCGCAACCCUUGUCUCAUGUUGCCAGCACGUUAUGGUGGGGACUCGUGAGAGACUGCCGGGGUCAACUCGGAGGAAGGUGGGGGAUGACGUCAAGUCAUCAUGCCCCUUAUGUCCAGGGCUUCACACAUGCUACAAUGGCCGGUACAAAGGGCUGCGAUGCCGUGAGGUGGAGCGAAUCCUUUCAAAGCCGGUCUCAGUUCGGAUCGGGGUCUGCAACUCGACCCCCUGAAGUCGGAGUCGCUAGUAAUCGCAGAUCAGCAACGCUGCGGUGAAUACGUUCCGCGGGCCUUGUACACACCGCCCGUCACGUCAUGAAAGUCGGUAACACCCGAAGCCGG